GACGAACGCUGGCGGCGUGCCUAAUACAUGCAAGUAGAACGCUGAAGCUUGGUGCUUGCACCGAGCGGAUGAGUUGCGAACGGGUGAGUAACGCGUAGGUAACCUGCCUGGUAGCGGGGGAUAACUAUUGGAAACGAUAGCUAAUACCGCAUAAGAGUAUAUGUUGCAUGACAUUUGCUUAAAAGGUGCAAUUGCAUCACUACCAGAUGGACCUGCGUUGUAUUAGCUAGUUGGUGAGGUAACGGCCCACCAAGGCAACGAUACAUAGCCGACCUGAGAGGGUGAUCAGCCAACACGGGAAUGGGACACGGCCCAAAAUCCCAAGGGAGGGAGCCGUAGGGAAUCUUCGGCAAUGGACGGAAGUCUGGCCGGGGAACGCCGCGGGGGUGAAGAAGGGUUUCGGAUCGUAAAGCUCUGUUGUAAGAGAAGAAAGAGUGUGGGAGUGGAAAGUUCACACUGUGACGGUAUCUUACCAGAAAGGGACGGCUAACUACGUG
rnacentral:rRNA from 1 species